rnacentral:rRNA from 1 species
AUGCAGCAGGACCGAGCUCGUCUCGCGCACGGUGCAGCAGGACUGACCUCGUCCCCCUCUCGGUGCUGCAGGACCGAGCUCGUCUCGCGCGCGGGGCAGCAGGGCGGGUUGGUGGAUGCCAGCUCUGGCCGGCCUAUUGGGUCUCGACGCUGGGGUCGCCCAGGGGUGGGAAAGGUGGGACCUUUCCGCUCGUUCCUUUCGUUGGUGUGCGUGUGCGGCUCCAAGGGAAACUCUGAUCCUUGGAUCGGGCGGUGGCGGCGCUCCGGUGCCGUUCCCUUCCUGAAGGCACAGCCUUGGAGCACAUGGUUCAUCAUAUGUAGCUUCAUCUCUUGGUGGUGGCACAGCCUUCAGAAUCUAGUUUGUGUUCGUAAACUUUCUCAUGAUAACUCUGUAACUGUGGAAUUUGACGAAGUUGGUUUUUCUGUUAAGGACGCCCUCACCCGGAUGGUUCUUCACCGCUGUGACAGUCCCGGCGAUACAUACUCCGUCCAGCCUCCAUCAUCCUCACAUGCUGGACCAGUUGCACUUUCCGCCGGCGUUGAUCUCUGGCACGCACGUCUCGGUCAUCCUAGCUCAACCGCUCUUCGUCAUAUUAUUAGGGAUUUUUCUUUUACAUGUAAUAAAACGGAUGCGCACUCUUGUCACGCAUGCCGUCUGGGCAAACAUGUUCGCCUUCCCUUUAGUACUUCAUCCACAGUUGCGUCGUUACCCUUCGAGUUAAUCCAUAGUGAUGUUUGGACCUCUCCUGUUGCUAGUAACACUGGUUUUUCAUAUUAUCUUGUUAUCUUGGAUGACUUUUCUCAUUUUGUGUGGACCUUUCCAUUACGUAAGAAGUCUGAUGUUGCUGCCACUCUCACGGCUUUCUACUCUUAUGUCGCCACACAAUUCGGUCGUCCCAUUCUAGCUUUGCAAACUGACAACGGGAAAGAAUUCGACAACACUACCAUCCGCAACCUUCUCUCCACCCAUGGCACUGUUUUCCGUCUUACCUGUCCAUACACCUUACAACAGAACGGUCGGGCCGAACGCAUCCUUCGCACUAUCAACGAUUGUGUUCGCACUCUCCUUUUUCAUGCCUACAUGCCACCCCGCUUCUGGCCUGACGCUCUCGCUACUGCCACUCUCCUCAUAAACCUUCGUCCAUGUCGUACCCGGUGGAACUUCACACCUCACCACCUUCUCUUUGGGUCUCCUCCUUCAUACGACGGUCUUCGUAUAUUUGGUUGUCUUUGUUACCCUAGUAUUGUCGCCACCUCUCCUCAUAAACUUGCUCCUCGUUCUCUUCCGUGUGUUUUCCUCGGUUACCCGGCUAACACCAAAGGCUAUAGAUGCUAUGACCCGGUUUCCCACCGUGUCAUCACAUCCCGGCAUGUUUAUUUCGACGAGUUUUCUUUUCCUUUUAAACAGGAACAGCAGGAGGCUUCUUCAUCGGCGCCCGGUCCCUCCUUGGCCGACCCCAUCCGCCCUGGUUUCCCUAACCGGCGUAGGGUGCCCCCUGGACGUGCGGCGCUUCGGCUCCUGCCCGCUGCUUCUCCAGCUGCGCCGGCCUCCGAGCCGGCCUCCGAGCCGGCCUCCGCGUCGGCCACCGAGCCGGCCUCCCAGCCGGCUCCCGCGUCGGCCUUCACACCGGCAUCCGCGCCGGCCUCUCCGGAGCCGGCCUCCCAGUCGGCCUCCACGCCGGCAUCCGCGCCGGCCUCUCCGGCCGCUUCGUCGCCGGGCUUCGCGCCGGCCUCUGCGCCGGUCUCCCCGGCUUCAUCGGCUUCACCGCCCACUGCGUCGGCUAGCUCGCCGGGAUCGCAGCCGGGCGCGUCGCCGGCAUCUUCACCACCAGGCUCGGCGCCAUCAUCGGUAGAGGCUGCUGUGCCACCGCCUGCUGGCCCUGUCACGCGGUCGCGGCUCGGCGUCCAUCGGCCCAACAACCGUUACCCACCGGACGUGUACACCUGCGUCGCUUCGACUUCUUCAUCGCCAUCACCCUUGCCGACCUCCGCCCGUUCCGCGCUUCGUGACCCCAUGUGGUUCGCCGCGAUGAAGGAGGAGUUUGAUGCAUUGCAACGCAAUCACACCUGGCAGCUCGUCCCCCGUCCUCCUCGGGCCAACGUCAUUACCGGGAAGUGGGUGUUCAAGCACAAGUUUCAUCCGGAUGGUACUCUCGACCGACACAAGGCUCGUUGGGUCGUUCGAGGUUUUCGUCAACGAGCAGGUGUUGAUUUCACCGACACCUUCGCCCCGGUUGUCAAACCCGGCACGAUUCGGACUGUUCUUCAGCUCGCGGUCUCUCGCUCAUGGCCUGUGCACCAGAUGGAUGUUUCGAAUGCUUUUCUUCAUGGUCACCUUGAGGAACAGGUGUUCUGUCAGCAGCCGACUGGAUUUGUUGAUGAGUCCUCUCCAGAUCAUGUGUGUUUGCUCUCUCGGUCUUUGUACGGCCUUAAGCAAGCUCCUCGCGCCUGGUACCAGCGCAUCGCAGCUUUCCUCACUCAGCUUGGCUUCCGCUCCACUCGCUCCGAUGCUUCGCUGUUUGUCUACCACCAGGGUGAUGCUACUGCCUACCUUCUGCUCUAUGUUGACGACAUCAUCUUGACAGCAUGCUCGCCUGCUCUUCUUCAACAGCUCACUGAUCGUCUUCGUGCUGAGUUUGCCAUUAAGGAUCUAGGUCCUCUGCACUAUUUCCUCGGGAUCGAGGUUAUUCGUCGAGCAAAUGGCUUCUUUCUUCAUCAGCGGAAGUAUGCUCAUGAGCUUCUGGAUCGUGCCGGGAUGCUUAACUGCAAAUCGGCUGCCACACCUGUUGAUACGAAGGCCAAGCUCUCCGCCACUGAUGGUUCUCCUGCUUCAGAUGCUCCCUUCUACAGGUCGAUUGUUGGUGCUCUUCAGUACCUCACUCUUACUCGUCUGGAGCUCCAGUACGCUGUGCAGCAGGUUUGCCUCCAUAUGCAUGCUCCACGUGAUGCUCACUGGACCGCGGUCAAGCGCAUUCUGCGCUACAUCCGUGGCACCUUGGAUCUCGGAUUGUCACUUCAGGCUUCAUCAUCUUUGGACAUGACGGCUUAUUCCGACGCCGAUUGGGCCGGCUGCCCUGACACGCGCCGCUCGACCUCUGGUUAUUGCGUCUAUCUUGGACCAUCUCUCAUCUCCUGGUCGCCCAAGCGGCAGCCUGUUGUCUCCCGCUCCAGUGCUGAAGCAGAGUACCGCGCCGUUGCCAACGUCGUCGCUGAGUGUUCCUGGCUUCGUCAACUGUUGCAUGAGCUUUUGUCUCCGGUGGACAAGGCUACUAUUGUCUACUGUGACAAUGUUUCUGCAGUCUACCUCUCCGCCAACCCGGUUCAUCAUCGCCGCACCAAGCACAUUGAGAUUGAUAUCCACUUUGUUCGGGAACAGGUCGCUUUGGGUCAUGUACGUGUGCUACAUGUCCCUACGUCCCAACAGUUUGCUGACAUCAUGACCAAGGGCUUGUCUACUGCGUCUUUCGAGGAGUUCCGUUCCAGUCUUUGCGUCGACCAUGGUGCCGCUUCGACUGCGGGGGGGUGUUGA